rnacentral:tRNA from 1 species
GACGAAGUAGUUUUAUAGAAUAGCAGGUUGUGGUCCUGACGGAGCUUAUCAGGCCUUUGUCG